CCAGACCCAGCAGAGGACAGAGUCAACACCAGACCCAGCAGAGGACAGAGCCAACACCAGACCCAGCAGAGGACAGAGCCAACACCAGGCCCAGCAGAGGACAGAGCCAACACCAGGCCCAGCAGAGGACAGAGUCAACACCAGACCCAGCAGAGCUCUAUCGUCUCCCCCAGGACUGACAAUGGGCUUGUUUGAGUGGUAAGCCUGAAGCAAAGCGUCUGCAGACGAUCGUGGAGAAAUGAACUCUGGGAAUCUGUUUCAGCGUUAAGUCUGAUACUGAUGUGGCUUUCCUACAUGGCAGUGGUGACAGUUUUCAGAAAAGUUGUUUGUUUGUACAAAUACAUGUAAAUGAAUUAAAUGUAAUUUAAAAAAGUCUCUAAGCCCAUAUCACUGUAAAUGUCUAUAUCCAUAUCACUGUAAAUGUGUGUAGCCUACAUUUGUACUGUGAACUGGGGAGAGAGAGACUCAAAUAUCACAUUUGGGGUGGCAGGGUAGCCAAGUGGGUAGAGCGUUGGGAUAGUAACCGGAAGGUUGCAAGUUCAAAUCCCCCGAGCUGACAAGGUACAAAUCUGUCGUUCUGCCCCUGAACAGGCAGUUAACCCACUGUUCCUAGGCCGUCAUUGAAAAUAAGAAUUUGUUCUUAACUGACUUGCAUCGUUAAAUAAAGGUACAAUAAAAUGUAACUUGUA
rnacentral:lncRNA from 1 species